UUUAGAUUUAUUGUCUACCCUUUUUUUUACCUCUCUUUACAGUUCACAUUACGCGUGUACUUUAUUUUAUGUCUCUCACCGAAUCUUCAUCUUUCAUUCAUUCAAUCUCUACCUUUUCAACCACUCCUCCGCCUCUAAAAACCACAUCUCCACCGUCUGCACUAAACACCAUAUCUUCCACCCUCCCUUCGACCUUCUCUGCGUCUCUCUCUCUCUGUGUCGCAAGAAGAGAGAUCUUAGGUAUGGCUUUUUUUUUGUUAAUUGUCAUCAGAUCAUGUGUUCAUCGGUGCGGUUGACCGGUUUUUGGAGGUAUUUAUUUUUUCACUACACACAGAGAAGAGAUGGCAUCUCUUUUCUCUAAGAUGAGGAGCCUCCACCACAAAGCCGAGGUUGCAGAUCGGAGUAAAGCAAAAAAGGGGGAUGGGGUAGAUCGGAACGCCGUGUCGAGAUUAUGUUUUCAUGGCUGUUCGGUGUUCAUUAGUGCGGUUGACCUUAUUUUUCAAGGAGUUAUAUUUGAACCACACACACCCAGUCGAGAGAGAGAUAUCAUGACAUCGGUUUCUCCAAGAUAAGAACACCUCCAAGGUUGUUGGCGAUGGCUGUCUGUGUGUUCAGACAUCGGCCGAUCUGAGUAGAGCAAAGGUGGAUGGGUAGAUCGCCGAUCGAUAAGGUGUGAACUUUCGUUGGUUUAUCGAGACCUAUCUAUCAAAGGUUGGCUCUAUCAUACAAAUGCUAGAGAUUGAUAUAGUGGAGGACAGGGUGUAAACUUACGGAAAGGAUGCCCAGCAUGCAUAAGACAGAAAAGUGAGUGCAGGUGAAUUAACUUACAGUUGCCUAGAAGUAGAUGUUUUGACAAGGAAAGGUUUAUCACUAUCCAUAGUAGUGCCAACCUUAACUUUAGAUUGUUCUCCAUUUCUGUCCUGGUCACUCCCGCCGUAUUCUAAUGAUACUGAAUCAAUUGAUCCCUGAAGAGAUGAAGGCAAUGGCACCUUGUCUGGUGGGACAUAUAUGAGAAUGAAUACAGAUAUUGCUAACAUGGUAAAUGCAACCCACACUGACAUGGUUAAGAGAGAUAUUGUCUCCACCUCACAACUGUUGCAAUAUUUGCAGUAAGAGGAUAAUCACCUGAUGCAUCCUCUUUUACAAGUAAAGGUUUAUCACUAUCCAUGGAAGUGCCAACCUUAACUUUAGAUUGUUCUCCAUGGCUGUCCUGGCCACUUCUACCAUAUUCUUUAAUGGACCCCUGAAGAGAUGAAGGCAAUGGCACUUUUGUCUGGUGGGACAUAUCUGGGUAUCAAUAGGUUAAGAGAGCUAUUGUCUCCACCUCACAAUUUUUACAAUAUUUUUAGUUUCCCACAUAUUUUUGCAUAUUUUUACAACUGUUACAAUAUUUUUCUAAUAUAUCAUAAAGUGUGAGGUAAUUUGCAUAUGUUUCCAAUAAAGUAAGGCUUUAGUGAGUUUAUCAGAUAGGCCAGAAUUGCAUAGUCUAAUGAAACGUGUUUUCUAGCUUUAUUUCAGGAAGAGACAAGCACCAAAAUAAAAGAAACAAAAGUAAUGACAAAGAACAAGAAUGCAUUGGAAUUGAGAGAUGUUUGAGAGAUCUGUGGAUCUUCUAAAGUCUUUUCUAGUUGGGACGUUAUUUGUGUGGUCUCAUACUGGGGUUGUAUUUGAUUUCCUUCAAUCUGCUUACAUAUUUUUGUCUUGUUUCAAGUACACUUUGUAAACAUGAUGGACUUUUUUAAAAAUGAAAUUAUCCAUUACCUAUCAAACAAAAACAAGAAGAUUGCGCUGGAGCUGCUGAA